rnacentral:rRNA from 1 species
UACGAGUGCCCCAAGCGUUAUUCGGAAUUAUUGGGCGUAAAGGGCGCGUAGGCGGCUUCGCAAGUGGAAGGUGAAAUCCCUCGGCUUAACCGAGGAACUGCCCUCCAAACUGCGUUGCUUGAGGCCGGGAGAGGUGAGUGGAAUUCCCAGUGUAGCGGUGAAAUGCGUAGAUAUUGGGAGGAACACCAGUGGCGAAGGCGGCUCACUGGACCGGUUCUGACGCUGAGGCACGAAAGCGUGGGGAGCAAACAGG